GUCCCCCUUCACACUGUUCUACCUCCUCCAGUUCCAGCAGCAGAAGUGACUAUGCAGGCCCUGACUCAGACUGCUCCUCGUUUGAUGGCAGUGGCUACCCUCCUUACAGAGACACCUGUUACACACCAGCUCCGAAAGUUUAUUGGCUGGUUGGAGUGCACAGGAGAUUCAUAGGCUUUGCUGUUGACCUCAGAAGAUACCUGUGCUCCUUGUGGUUGCCACCGGACAUGCUUCUAUUCCGAGGGGACUAUCAGCCCCUGAGAAGAAAGGCUUUGAUGGUUGCUGGUCUAACACUUUUGGGAUUAGGUAAGAAACACAAUAAUUGCACUGUAUUUUUGCGUAAAAAAAAAAAGAGAACCUGGACAUAUGCAUGUAUGUUUGUAUGUAUGUAUGCAUGUCUGUCUACUGAUUUGUAUGUUCAGGUUUUUGGUUCGGGAUCCCCCUCCUUUUUCGACAACUCUCAUCUGGAUCAGUAAAUACUGGAAGUGGCACAAACCUGGCCAAGGUUAGAUAAGCCAGAAUGGAAAUCACGAUUCUGUUCGCUUUUGUGAUCACAUGUGUCAUUACACCGUCCUGAAACUAUUCUUUUUCACUCACUGGUGUUUCUACGCUGUAUAUCUUAACAUGUGCCUUUUAAAGAUCCAGGAACAAUUGACGGAUAUCCAAAAGCAGCUUGCAGAGAAAGAGGCCAGGUGGAAAGAAACCCUACUGAAAGAAAUCGGAAGUUUACAGAGUGAAGAGAAAAUUACAUCAGGUGAUGUCCGAAAGACCGUACAGGAAGCACUCAGUCGAUACAACGCUGAUGGAAUUGGCAUGACAGACUACGCGCUCAAAUUUUCUGCCAGAGGUCUACCCAGGAAAGUGCUGGGCCUUCCGGGGAAGCUACGGCUCGGUCACCAUCGCUCUAUCCCAGUCAGUGAGAAUCACACAUGUGACUAUGGAGCACCUACCCAAGAGUCUGUCUCCAACUGGUCAGAUUGAUAGCGCUCCACAAGACUUCGCCGUAUAUGUCAGUUUCUUGACCUCACCACUAACUAGUAAAACAUUUUUUUUUAUUAGAACUGAAUGACAAAACUAACUUGUAGUUACAGUAAAUAUAUAAAAUAGCAACAUUUUAGUGCAAUUAUCUUUUCAACAGUACUCUCCCACUCACUCACCCUAGGGAAUUCAUCACGUUGCCCAGAAACAAGAGGGGGUUUUUCUUGGAAAAUUUGCCUACAGCCAAGAUGGAGACCCUAUCCAAACCUUUGAAUUAAAGGCAAGAUAUCUGGUCUACAGCCAAACAAUAUUAUGUCUAUAUUUGUUUACAGGCUGGUAACAUGAUGUGUUGACCUAUUUCUUACCCUCAGGACCCUGUUAAGAAUGUCUAUCCUGUGGUGGAGCUGAGGAUCCUGACCAACUGGGGUAACCCAGUGUACACAUGUCUGUAUCGAUUCCGUGUGCAUGGCCAGGCCAAGAAUGCAUAGGAGCAUUGCACUCAUACUACUUCAAGAAAAAGAGCGCAUCUGAAAAUAUUACUUUAGUGACCAGCACAAAUACCGUGGCAAGUGAAUAAAUAAAAAAAAUACUGAAAGUAGAAUUCUGUC
rnacentral:lncRNA from 1 species